GUGCUGUAGGUAGAGGAUUAGCCAAGUGAGCCGCAGCACUGGCCUAUGUGUCUUGGUAUAUGUUUGAAUUGUUUUUAAAGGGUCCUAUAUUUAACAGGCUACGAAGGUCUGAUUUCAUCUUAUUUAUAGAUAGGCAAAUAGGACUACAAAAGGCUGGUGGGUUUUUACAGAACAUUUUAUUGAUCCUAUUUUACCAACCAAAACAUACUUAAACACAGACAUAAUAAAAUUAUAUGUGUACUAUAGCAAAAGUGUCAUUAUAAUUAAUUAAUAUACGAAUAGGGUUAUAACACUAUAACAGUGACGUAAGUAGUAUUAUAAUAGAAUUUAUCACAAUAGUAAUAUAAUGGUUUUUAAAAUUUUCUCAAAAAUGAUAAGAUUUUGGGUGCUGAGAGGAUUUAUAAGAAUUAUAGUUCUAUUGACUUUCUAUCACUUCUGUGUGUUGUUUGAGUGGUUUUAUCGCAGUGUGGAUGGGUUAUAGCAGUUUUGAAUCCCAUAACAUUAUUGAACUGCAUAGAGCGCUUGCUCUCAGAUUAUCUGGUCUAGUGGCUUUCAAAUCUGUGAGCCACAAAUACUGUGUCUCUGUGUUCAUGUAAAUCUGAAAUAGGUCUCUGAAAUGGUAUUUAUUCAGAUAUUUUCUAUUAAAUUUCAUUCUAUUCCAUUUUUUUCUCUUUUCUAGUUCAUUUGGAAAAAAACACUCAGAACUCACUUAUAGAUAUGAAUGAGCAUUUGAAAACACUGUUCAAAGUUAGAACUGUGUUUUAUAAGUAAGGAACCUGGGGUCAAACAACACAAAGUGAUUUGUCUAGGGUCAAACAACUCUUUAGCACCUAAAUUGUGUGUUUCUUUAUAAAAACAAAUAUGGAAUUUCAAAUUCAAAUCAUUUAGCAUUUGGUGAUUACAUAAUAAAUCCUGGCAAAUCCAAAAAGUUCUUUCCUGAUGGAAAUAAGGAGGCUAGUAGGCCCACUCCCAUAGUGAUGCAUAUUGGAACAAUUAUUUUCUAUUAUUGACCCUGGGAUACACUAGGCUAAAAGUCUGGUUAUUUGCAUAGCUCUGUGGCUGCUUUGGCCCUACAGUGGCAGAGCUGAGUCGUUGUGACAGAGACAAUAUGUUCUGCAAAUCUGAAGUAUUUUCUGUCUGACCUUUUGCAGAAAAAGCUUGCUAACUCCUGAGAAUUAUCUGAUAAGGAAUGUAAAGCACUGACAAUUUCUAGCACAGGGUAGAUGCCCAACAAAUAAGUUAUUUUUCUGUACAGUGGUAAUAGUGAUUAAGAUGACAAGGAUUGCAAUGAUGCUGGUGAUGAUGAUAAUGAGUUAUGGUGAUGUUAAUAAUGAGAAUGAUGAUGUUGACAAUAAUAACAGCAACAAUAAGAAAAACAGUUCUUUGGCUACCAGCUUGGAAUUCUUUUAUUCUAUGAUAGGAAUCACUCCUCAUAUUGUUCAGAUAUUUAGCAAGUAUGGUUUGCCUUUCGCCUUGUUUCUGUUUUCUCCUAAUAUUACAUCACUAAUAUCUGCCAGAAGCCAUCACCUGUCUCGGGGUGUGGUAAUGGUGGUGAUUCCUGGUAGAUUUCCUGGAUCCCAGCAGUAUCUUGGGAAAAUUUUUACCUUAUCCUUGGAUUUUUAUUUUCUGUUUUACAGAUCCCAGAAGAAGAAAGAAUUUCUUGUUUUGUACUAAUAAUAAAUGAGCCAGUUAGAAGGCAUCAUAUUAAUCAUAUAUUUUUGCUAUAUUUGUGGCCGAAAAAACCCUCAUUCUUGCCACCCAUGGACCCCCAAAUGUGUCUCAAAGUAAAUUAGACUCACUCAGGAACUUAGCAUCUGUUUCUCCUCUUGUUAUAAAUUCACAAAUAGGAUAUGUUUUUCCUUUUAAAGUGGUUUCCCUGGCAACCAAACCACCCUUAUACAAUCAGAGCAGUUUGUCACUUUUGAAGUUUGACUUUCUGACAAGGCCUUCUAGCUCAGGGACAUGAAGAAAACAACAUCCAAACAUAAACAUUUCGAAAACACUCAAGUGGUGAAUUACAAAUGCAAACUACAUUAGGUGACUUCUCUGUAGAUUGUGUCAGCCCCCAUCCCGACCACCCUCUGCAUCCAACCAGCAGAGAUAACCAUCCCUUGAAGUAGCUAUCUUUGUAGCAGAGAACAGAUGGGAGUGAUUCUUAAAGUGGCUCAAUUACCAUAAAGAUAUAUUCUGGGAAGCAGCGGGUAGACAGAGAGAUAGUAAGGCUUGCAGCAGGCUGCCAUAUAAUAUGAACUCACCUUGUGGUUACAGAAGCUGAAAUAAUCAUAUUGGCCAUGACUCAGACACAGCAUGGGGAAUGUAAACUUUGCUGCCUUGCUCAAAAAAGUCCACACAAAGUGAAACACUUUGGGUCUUAGCUAAUCCUCAGAUUGGCUUUUCAUUUGUUGUUGUCUUUAAAUAAUAAUAAUUAUAAAAUAAUUAUUUGGUUAAUUAUUGUAUGAUUUUUAAGAAUUUAUUUAUUUAAGGUCAGAGCAACAGCAAUGGUGGGGAAGGGUGAGGGGAGAGAAACAAAGGGAGAGAGAAAAAGAGAGAAAGAGAUAUCUUCCAUUCACUGGUUUACUCAUCAAAUGUCCACAACAAUGAAACUCUUAUCUGAGUCUCCACAUGGAUGGCAGGGACUCAAGCACUUGGGGCAUCUUCUGUUGCCUUCUCAAAGAAUUGGCAGGAAGCUGGAGUGGAAGAGGAGCACCUAGUUUUCAAGCCAUCACUCUGAUAUGGGACACCACCAUUUCAAGCAGUGGCUUCACCUGCUGAACUACAAUGCUGGUCUCUAUGAAUGUAUAAAUUCAUUAUGAAAUAAUUAUUAUUAACUACUAUUAUCCCCAAUGAUUUCCCCUCCUGUUGCUGUUAUAUUUAUCAAUAACAAGAGUCAGGACCUCAUUUACUUCUGGAUUUCCUUCCUCUCCACAACCCAAUUCUAGUUCUUAGAGUAGCUAGAAGAGAAUUGGGGGCAGACAGAAUGAUUAGAGUAGGAAAGAAGAGUACAAUAAAAAAGAAAAAAAUUGUGUAUUUUCUUAUUUCAUUUCCUACUGACUUGUUAACAAAGUGCAGAGAGAAAUUUGUGGGAUAGAAAUGAAUGAGAGCUAUAGAGACCCCCAAGGGAGCUCAGAGUGGAAAAGCAUCUGAAGGAGGAGUGAAAAUAACAGCAGUGGGAGCCUAGUCAUUUCCCCAUAAUGAACUUGCUUUCAUGAUCUCAAUAUUCAUAGCAACUUUUCCUCCUUAGAAGACUUUCCCCAAGAACACAGCAUUCUUCAUCAUAAUCCUGUCAAGAGGGGAGAUCCCUUGCAUUUGCAGAAUUUUGAGAAAUGAAGGAAGUUGAACAAGAUCAUGCAGCUUGUGCCUGGAAGAGCCUGGCCUCAAACUCAUACUUCCCAGCUUUCCAAUCCAACCAGGUACACUCUGGUGCUCGUAUUAGCGCUGAAGAGUGUAGCUUCCAGGAGGAGAAGGUGGGGCUCAGGAGAGAGGGCAGUCACCGCACUCUCUUGAGCGCUGGAAGCACAAGCAUGGGGGGGUGUGAGAGUGCUGAAUCAGAGGGGAGAGAAGUCAGGCCGUGAAAAGAGCGGUGUGCCAAGUGCUGAGACUGCAGGAAGAAGAAUUUCUUGAAGAUGAAAGGGACCAACAAAAUCUAUAACACAGAAUGUUAGAGAAAAAAGUCAAUGAUUUGAGUAGGAAGAGGUCAUGCAUUGAAUAUCUUUAAAGAUUGUUGACCGUGGAAUAUGGGAAUGGCUAGAAGAAGGUCAGAAAUGGUGGGUGAACUAUUGAAAACAUCUAUGAUCAUCCUGUUGCUGGUGAUAGCUGAUAAGAACAGUCAAUAUUCACUGGAAGCUUUUGUGCCAGAUACUGUUCCCAGGGCUUCAGUGCACUAAGUUGUCUAAGGACAUUUAAGACAUUUCACAUAUAUUAUGAAAAAUGAAUAUUGUAGAAAAAGAAACCCUACCUCUAUUUCAAAAUUAUUUUACAUCAAAAUCAACUUAUUUUUUUUAAUUUAUUUAUUCAUGUUUAUGAGAGGUAAAGAAACAGAUAAAGAGAGGGAGAGCUCCCACCCUCUCCUUCCCCAAAUGCCCACAAAUGCUGGGGCUGGACCGAGGCUGAAGCUGAGGGCUAAGAACUCAAUCUAGUUCUCCGAUGUGGGUGUUCGGAACUCAAUGACUUGUGCUAUCAGUACUGCCUCCCAGGUUCUAUAUUAUCAGGUAACUGGAAUAAGGAGCCAGAGCUGGAUUUGGUAUCAGGUCCUUCUAUCUGGAAUGUAGUUAAUCUUCACCACUAGGCAAAAUGUCUUUCCCUAAAUUAAUAUUUUACUUUUUUUUUGAUAAGCAGAGUGGACAGUGAGAGAGAGAGACAAAGGGAAAGGUCUUCCUUUACCGUUGGUUCACCCUCCAAUGGCCGCUGAGGCCGAUGCACUGCGGCCGGCGCACCGCGCUGAUCAGAAGCCAGGAGCCAGGUGCUUCUCCUGGUCUCCCAUGGGGUGCAGGGCCCAAGGACUUGGGCCAUCCUCCACUGCACUCCCAGGCCACAGCAGAGAGCUGGACUGGAAGAGGAGCAACCGGGACAGAGUCCGGCGCCCUGACAGGAACUAGAACCCUGUGUGCCGGCGCUGCAGGUGGAGGAUUAGCCUAUUGAGCCGCGGCACCGGCCCAGCCUAAAUUAAUAUUUUAAUUAUAUUUUCCAUGAAUUUUUUGAGCUACCCUCAUAUCAUCAUAAGCCUAUGAGGUGGUUACUGUUAUCCCUAUUACACAGGUGUGACCAUCGAGGCAGUGAGAGGGUAAGCAAUCUGUACAGAAUUAGAUUGCUACUAAGUGGAAGAGCUGAGAUUCAAGGCCCACUCUGUUAGCUGGGCUCAUACUUCAUAGUGUGGAAAAGCCAGAGGUCUCUUUAAGGGAUAAUGAAUUGACAGAAGUACACUGAUUUUAUCCUGAGGAAAAAAUGACAGGUAUAUUUUGACUGGAAAUACUAGUUGUGUUAAUGAUUAUCUAUACCUCUUUCCCCCUCUCUCUCUCUAAAAAAAGCAUUGUUUUAGUGAGGGAUUGAUUGUUAUAUUUUUUCCAUGUCAGGUUUUAAAGAAAAUAUAACCAUUUGUUGUAAAAAUAAUCUAAGUGAAUUUUGAAAUCCUAAAAGAAAAUAUACUGCAUUUUUUACUGGUAACUUUCUUGAAAGAAUUCAAGUAAGAUAUUAUGGAUCUUUGUAAAUAUCUCAGAAAAGAAAGAGGGCAUUCUAUGUUUAUAGCAAAAACAUUUUAGUAACUAUGUACUGGAACAAUGACUUUCUGUGUCUCAAAUUCCUUUAUGCCUACAGACUGCUCAAUUGAAUGUCAUUAGAACUUCUAGAAUUUAUUUUCACAUAGUUUGAAGCCUGACUCAUCUCUUACAUAGUCACAUGUUGAUUUGAGAAAAAAUAUAUAUACACACAAAGCUACCCUCAGUAUGGGCAGCAUAUUGGAUUCUAAGGCUUACAGAUUGCCAUCCUGCUCAGCGUCCCUAACCCUUUUCAGGUUACUAUGUGGGCCACGGAGGUUAGUGACUUGCCUGGCUGAGCAGAGUCUGAAUGUAAAGAGCUUAUGCCUUCUUGAAAUUAUUAAGGGGCCAGCACUGUGGCAUAGAAGGUUAAGCCUCCACCUGAAGCACUGGCAUCCCAUAUGGAUGCCAGUUCAAGACCCAGCUGCUCCUCUUCCAAUCUAGCUCCUUGCUAAGAUGCCUGGGAAAUCAGAAGAAGAUGGCCCAAGUCCUUGGGCCCCUGUUGCUACGUGGGAGACCUAGAAGAAGCUCCUGGAUCCUGGCUUCAGCCUGGCCCAGCCCCAGAUCUUGGGGCCAUUUGGGAAUGAACCAGUGGUUGGAAGUUGUCUGUCUUUCUGUCUCUCCCUUUCUCAUAGAAUGACAAAUACCUCAAACAGCACUCUGACCUGAGAAUCAGCCCUUAAGGCAUUAAGCUCCUGGCUCUUGGCUUCAUACCACUCAACUCUGGCCAUUGUGGUCAUUUGGGGAGUGAAUCAAUGGAUAGAAGAUUUCUUUCCCUGUCUCUCCCUCUCUAUAACUCUGCCUUUCAAAUAAAUAAAUAAAUCUUGGGAAAAAUGUUAUACUAUCUGUGAUUACUUUAAAAUUUACUUUAUAUGGGUGAAAUGGUUAUAUUUCCAUUUGAUUGUUGUUUAUAGUCCUUGCCCGUAUUCUUGCUAAACUAGGAUCUUUUUUUCUUUUAUUUGCUGAACUCUAUUUGGUGGAGAACUAAACCCUUGACUAUAAUGUAAAUUAAAAGUUUAAUCUCAAAAAAUAAAAAAAUCAUUGUAAAAAACCUUUAGAAUAGAAAUAAUCAGUUAGACUCUUUUCUGUUUGAGUCAUCUUAAAUAACGAUUUGCAACUACAAUUGUCAUCAUGGUCAAAACUGUAAUACAGAUAUGUGAUGAAAGCUUUUGAAGACAUUCUUUAUGUAUAUAGUUAGGAAAAACACAAAAUAGUAGCUAUUUGUCCUUCUAUUUUAAAUGAAACAUCAGAUUAUACCAAAGUCAUACUGAAAAUAACAUUAAAUUGUCAUGUUUUUUCAUGGAAUUAUGGUAUCACCUCAAAAGAUGCUCGCUUCACUCUAUUCCCUUGAAAACAAGGAGUUAUGAAGUGUAUCACAUGUCAGAGUGUUUUUAAAAGAUUUAUUUAUUUGAAAGGCAGAGUUACACACAGUGAGAGAGAGAGGGAGAGAGAGAAAGAGAGAGAUAGGGCUUCCACCCACUGGUUCACUCCCCAAAUGGCUGCAAUAGUUGGAGCAAGGCCGAUCCAAAGUCAGGAGUCAGGAGCUUCUUCUGGGUCUCCCACAUGUGUGCAGGGGCCCAACACUUGGGCCAUCCUCCGAUGCCUUCCCAGGCACAUUAGCAAGGAACUGAAUUGGAAGUGGGGCAGCCAGGGCUUGAACUGGUACCCAUAUAGGAUGCUGGCACACCAGGCGGCAGCUUAACCUGCUAUAUACUACAGUGCCAGCACCAACAUGAUAGAAUUUAAGUUUCUCUUAAAUGACUCACUAUGCGAAUUAACAGUAAAACUAAUAUUCAAGCAGUAAUUUAUACUUUGUGUGUCUGUGUGGGUGCAAUUUAUUGAAAUCUUUAGUAUAUACUAAGUUAUCUUCUAUAUAUAAAGAUAAUUAAAAAUGAAUCUUAGCCGGCGCCGUGGCUCAAUAGGCUAAUCCUCCACCUUGCGGCGCCGGCACACCGGGUUCUAGUCCCGGUUGGGGCGCCGGAUUCUGUCCCGGUUGCCCCUCUUCCAGGCCAGCUCUCUGCUAUGGCCAGGGAGUGCAGUGGAGGAUGGCCCAGGUGCUUGGGCCCUGCACCCCAUGGGAGACCAGGAA